rnacentral:rRNA from 1 species
GAUGAUGAGGCCUUAGAGCCCAUACAACCCAAGAAUGAUACAGCCAACCGGCCGGAUCCACCACCUGGGGAACGCGAUAGAGCGGCUAACAAAGUCGCGCAUAAGUCAACACACGAUCUACGUGAGAACUUGUGUCAAAAAUCCGGCGCGACCAUAUCCAUCUAUGGAUCUAGGAAGAGCGCUACGGUACAAAACCAACAUCGAAUACUACAACCGUCCGAACACCAUGGCACAUCCCAAUACAGGGAUGCCGCAUACCCCUUAUGUUUCACUGAUGAGGUGCUGGAUCACGAAUUCCUAGAGGGAUUCAAACCGGUGAACAUAGAGGCGUACGACGGGACCACAGACCCUGGAGUCUGGAUAGAGGACUUUAUCCUCCAUAUUCAUAUGGCUCAUGGAGACGAUCUCCAUGCCAUUAAAUACUUGCCCCUCAAGCUUAAAGGGCCAGCUUGGCACUGGCUAAAAAGCCUUCCCGAAAACUCAAUUGGAAGUUGGAAGGAGCUCGAGGACGCUUUUCGGGCCAAUUUUUAA